rnacentral:rRNA from 1 species
AGCAGCCGCGGUAAUUCCAGCUCCAAUAGCGUAUAUUAAAGUUGUUGCAGUUAAAAAGCUCGUAGUUGAAUUUCGGGAUCAAUAUAUCGGUCGUGCCAUCGGUACGUACUGGUAUCAUUGGUUUCUCCUUUCUGACGAACCAUGAUGUCAUUAAUUUGGUGUCAUGGGAAGUUAGGACUGUUACUUUGAAAAAAUUAGAGUGUUUAAAGCAGGCUUUAGCUUGAAUACAUUAGCAUGGAAUAAUGAAAUAGGACGUUCGAACCUAUUUUGUUGGUUUCUAGGAUCAACGUAAUGAUUAAUAGGGAUAGUUGGGGGCAUUAGUAUUCAAUUGUCAGAGGUGAAAUUCUUGGAUUUAUUGAAGACUAACUACUGCGAAAGCAUUUGCCAAGGAUGUUUUCAUUAAUCAAGAACGAAAGUUAGGGGAUCGAAGACGAUCAGAUACCGUCGUAGUCUUAACCAUAAACUAUGCCGACUAGGGAUC